GAUGAACGCUGGCGGCGUGCCUAAUACAUGCAAGUCGAGCGAACAGACGAGGAGCUUGCUCCUCUGACGUUAGCGGCGGACGGGUGAGUAACACGUGGAUAACCUACCUAUAAGACUGGGAUAACUUCGGGAAACCGGAGCUAAUACCGGAUAAUAUAUUGAACCGCAUGGUUCAAUAGUGAAAGACGGUUUUGCUGUCACUUAUAGAUGGAUCCGCGCCGCAUUAGCUAGUUGGUAAGGUAACGGCUUACCAAGGCAACGAUGCGUAGCCGACCUGAAAGGGUCGUCCACCACACUGGAACUGAGACACGUUCCAGACACCGACGGGAGGCAGCAGUAGAGAAUCUUCCGCGAUGCGCCAAAGCCUGACGGAGCAACACCGCGUGAAUGAUGAAGGACUUCGGAUCGGAAAGCUCUGUUAUUAGGGAAGAACAAAUGUGUAAGUAACUAUGCACGUCUUGACGGUACCUAAUCAGAAAGCCACGGCUAACUACGUG
rnacentral:rRNA from 1 species